GCAAAAAAGCAGAGUUAGGCGGUGAGGUGGGUUAAAUACUUCACCAUAAAAAGUUCCAGAAACUUGGAUCUGAAUGGGGGCCUUUGAAAUAUUUCAGCCUGACCUUUUCAUGUACAGAUGAGAAAACUGUGAUCCAGACCUGGCCAGUGACUUGCUAAGGGUCACACAGCUAAGUAACAGCAAAGGUAGAACGCAGGGCUCCAGUCCCUGCCAUGAUUCCCCAACUUGGAUCUAGUAAUGCUCUCUAUAGAUGAGACGACAGCCUUCUCAGCUUCUCGGUCCAUGGGACUAUAAAAUGGAAUGUUGGGCUUGGCACAUCACAAUGCAAUUGUCUAUUUACAAGUUUAUUCCCAGUCUCCAAUGGAGGUGAAUGCCCCAAGGAUGGGGACCAUGACUUCCUCAUCUUUGUCACUGGGUACCUUCCACAAGGCCUGACACAUAGCAGAUCUUCAGGUGCAAGAGAUUCAGACUCUUUGUGCUCUCCUUCAGCAAGGCACAGGUUGAACUCAGGAAAAGUAAGUCAGAGAUUAAAUAAAUGUCUUCAUAUAAAGGUGUGAGUUUACAAAGAAGAAUCAAAUGAGGAACCCAAGCAACUGUUGCUUUCACAUAACUUGGAGGUUUCUAAGGCAGUGUUUCUCAAUGUCAAGAUGUCACGUUUCAAAAGACAACCUGAAUUCUCAGAUGAUUUCAAUGCAAGAUUAAUUUUCACUUGCCUCCAUUUUACAAAUAAAUAAAUGCCAUACUGUGA